UGGGAAACCGUAGCCCUGUACCGGGGGAGUAACACUUAGAAAUAGGUGCUAAUACCGCAUAAGCGCACAGCCUCACAUGAGGCAGUGUGAAAAACUACCGGUGGUACAGGAUGGUCCCGCGUCUGAUUAGCCAGUUGGCAGGGUAACGGCCUACCAAAGCGACGAUCAGUAGCCGGCCUGAGAGGGUGAACGGCCACAUUGGGACUGAGACACGGCCCAGACUCCUACGGGAGGCAGCAUG
rnacentral:rRNA from 1 species